CCCUAUGGGGCGCAGCAGGCGCGAAAACUCUGCAAUAUGCGAAAGCCUGACAGGGUUACUCUGAGUGAUUUCCGCUAAGGAGAUCUUUUGGCACCUCUAAAAAUGGUGCAGAAUAAGGGGUGGGCAAGUCUGGUGUCAGCCGCCGCAGUAAUACCAGCACCCRGAGUGGUCGGGACGAUUAUUGGGCCUAAARCAUCCGUAGCCGKUUYUGCAAGUCUUCCGUUAAAUCCARYAGCUCAACGGAUGGGCCGCGGAGGAUACUAUAUGACUAGGAGGCGGGAGAGGCAACCGGUACUCAGUGGGUAGGGGUAAAAUCCUUUGAUCCAUUGAAGACCACCUKUGGCGAARGCGGYUUGCCAGAACGCGCUCGACGGUGARGGAUGAAAGCUGGGGGAGCAAACCGGAUUAGAUACCCGGGUAGUCCCAGCUGUAAACGAUGCAGACUCGGUGAUGGGCUAGCCUUGUGCCAGCCCAGUGCCGCAGGGAAGCCGUUAAGUCUGCCGCC
rnacentral:rRNA from 1 species